rnacentral:rRNA from 1 species
UACGUAGGGCGCAAGCGUUGUCCGGAAUUAUUGGGCGUAAAGAGCUCGUAGGCGGCCUGUUACGUCUGCUGUGGAAUCCCGGGGCUUAACCCCGGGCGUGCAGUGGAUACGGGCAGGCUGGAGGCAGGCAGGGGAGAACGGAAUUCCCGGUGUAGCGGUGAAAUGCGCAGAUAUCGGGAGGAACACCGGUGGCGAAGGCGGUUCUCUGGGCCUGUACUGACGCUGAGGAGCGAAAGCGUGGGGAGCGAACAGG